GACGAACCUGACGAACGUUAUUCGGAAUCACUGGGCUUAAAGGGUGCGUAGGCUGUGCAGAAAGUUGGGUGUGAAAUCCCUCGGCUUAACCGAGGAACUGCGCCCAAAACUACUGUGCUCGAGUGAGAUAGAGGUGAGCGGAACUUAGGGUGGAGCGGUGAAAUGCGUUGAUAUCCUAAGGAACACCGGUGGCGAAAGCGGCUCACUGGGUCUCAACUGACGCUGAGGCACGAAAGCCAGGGGAGCGAACGGG
rnacentral:rRNA from 1 species